rnacentral:rRNA from 1 species
AUGCCAAACACUUUGCCACCUAGGAUAGUCUAUAUUUGUAUUGCCAUCAGUUAUCUCAUUUUUUCAAUAAUGAAAAAAUUAUUUGCUUUGGUUUUUCGGAAUAAUGUUCAGGAAGUUGAUGACGAGUUAGUAGAACCGUUGGAAAUGUUGCUUCCAUUAGACAAUGACAUGCUAAAGGCGCCACUGCCUGAUGUAGUCUUUGGACUUCAGCUAUCUCAUAUAUUUUGCCUAUUCUCUAAGAUGGAUGAUGAUGAGCGGUGCAAUCGAAAAUUCAGAGCUGGGCUUUACACACUUCAGUGGGAGUAG